rnacentral:rRNA from 1 species
GACGAACGCUGGCGGCGUGCUUAACACAUGCAAGUCGAACGGAAAGGCCCUGCUUUUGUGGGGUGCUCGAGUGGCGAACGGGUGAGUAACACGUGAGUAACCUGCCCUUGACUUUGGGAUAACUUCAGGAAACUGGGGCUAAUACCGGAUAGGAGCUCCUGCUGCAUGGUGGGGGUUGGAAAGUUUCGGCGGUUGGGGAUGGACUCGCGGCUUAUCAGCUUGUUGGUGGGGUAGUGGCUUACCAAGGCUUUGACGGGUAGCCGGCCUGAGAGGGUGACCGGCCACAUUGGGACGGAGAUACGGCCCAGACUCCUACGGGAGGCAGCAGUGGGGAAUAUUGCACAAUGGGCGGAAGCCUGAUGCAGCAACGCCGCGUGCGGGAUGACGGCCUUCGGGUUGUAAACCGCUUUCGCCUGUGACGAAGCGUGAGUGGCGGUAAUGGGUAAAGAAGCACCGGCUAACUACGU